CCUACGGGAGGCUGCAGUGGGGGAUAUUGCACAAUGGGGGGAACCCUGAUGCAGCGACGCCGCGUGGGUGAAGGAGUGCUUCGGCAUGUAAAGCCCUAUCGGCAGGGAAGAAGCAAGACGGUACCGGACGAAGAAGCCCCGGCUAACUCCGUGCCAGCAGCCGCGGGAAUACGUAGGGGGCGAGCGUUAUCCGGAUUCACUGGGUGUAAAGGGAGCGUAGACGGCCAUGCAAGCCAGGGGUGAAAGCCCGGGGCCCAACCCCGGGACUGCCCUUGGAACUGCAUGGCUGGAGUGCGGGCGGGGCAGGCGGAAUUCCUGGUGUCGCCGUGCAAUGCGUCGCUAUUAGGAGGAACACCAGUGGCGCAGGCGGCUUACUGGACUGUACCUGCCGUUGCGGCUCG
rnacentral:rRNA from 1 species